GUUUUCCUGUGGCUCAGCCAGUACAGCAUUGUGCUAACAAUGCAAAGGUUGUGGGCUCAAAUCCCAGGGAAAGCA